rnacentral:misc_RNA from 1 species
UACGUAGGUGGCAAGCGUUGUCCGGAAUUAUUGGGCGAAAAGCGUGCACAGGCGGUUUUGUAAGUCUGACGUGAAAUCCCCGGGUUCGACCUGGGAAUUGCGUUGGAGACUGCAAGGCUAGAAUCUGGCAGAGGGGGGUAGAAUUCCACGUGUAGCAGUGAAAUGCGUAGAGAUGUGGAGGAACACCGAUGGCGAAGGCAGCCCCCUGGGUCAAGAUUGACACUCAUGCACGAAAGCGUGGGGAGCAAACAGG